GGCUAAGAUCAGUGGGCCAUAUUCUGCAGCCCUUAUCCAGUUGCCUUUCUGUGUUUUACUGCCUAAGUCUGGGAGACAUCAAUGAGAAAGCUGCCCUCAGAAAGAAAAGCCAAAUGAAGACUUCAAAAAGUGGUCCUGUAUUUGGUCUGCUAUCUCUUGAAAAUCUAUUUAGAUGUGUGGUAACAAAAGGAGGCUGUAGCUUCUCCAGACCCUGAGUUUUGAACAGCACAGAUUGAAGUACAGAGGCAGACCAGCAGCAACUCUUCCUGUGUCCCAAACAGCAAAAAAUCGAAACAGCAGCCUAUCCUCCAGGGAAGGACGAGGACUCACCUCUACAUGAAGCAUAUAGAGAGAUGAACUUUGCAACUCAGCUUGCAAGAGGCCGUUGUGAGGAAAAUGCAAGGGGCUUACUGAGGGGCCUGCCUCCCCUGGGCUCUGCUGGCGGCUCCCUCUCUUACCCAGGGGAGCAUCGGCAGGAAGGCUGCUCCUGACGCUUGGCAGGGGAUGGGAGCCAGCCUCAGGACGCUGUGGGCUUCACAAACCAAAGCCAGUGCCAGUACUGUGUGCCCAGAGCAAGACAGGCCAGCUGCAUGCAGGUCUCUGCAUUUCAAGCCAGCUUCCAAACGCAUCUGAGACAGAGCCGUGGUGAGGGUGGGUGAGGCAGCAGUGAGUCUGGAGGUGAUAAAGGCAUGAAUCACAGGAAUGAGGUCUGCUUUGGAGAAAAGCAACGCACUCUUAUCUGGAUGGCAUCGCAGCCAGCUGGCCUUCCUCCAGGCCCCAACCUCACAUGCCAGGGGAGACAACCAACCCUCCUAACCAUAUUGGAAAAGACAAAAACACAGAGCUGCAUUUUAUCUGCAAAACCCAAGACAAAAAGCAACCCACGCUUCUUCACUACCUGCCUGAUCGACACACAAAACAACCCGCUCCUCAGAGUGGCUCUGGCAGCUCCAAAAGUGAGUGAGAAACCCUUCUGUGAAAAACCCCACAGAGGAUUUUGUGGUGAGCUGGAAGGCACACACGUGGAUCUGUGCUUUCAGCAGGUUCCCUUGCACUUAUUCCCAGAUCACCGGUGAAGCUGCUUCUACUUAGGAUCCAUUUCAUGGGCUGAGAUAACCUUCCUUUCUACAGGGGAUAAUUGUGCGUGUGUGUUUGGUUUUGUUUGUUUUGUUUUCCAGAACAUCAGAAAUGCCUGAACAUGUUCCAG
rnacentral:lncRNA from 1 species